rnacentral:rRNA from 1 species
ACUCCUACGGGAGGCAGCAGUGGGGAAUAUUGCACAAUGGGCGCAAGCCUGAUGCAGCCAUGCCGCGUGUGUGAAGAAGGCCUUCGGGUUGUAAAGCACUUUCAGUAGGGAGGAAGGUAGUGUAGUUAACACCUGCAUUAUUUGACGUUACCUACAGAAGAAGCACCGGCUAACUCCGUGCCAGCAGCCGCGGUAAUACGGAGGGUGCGAGCGUUAAUCGGAAUUACUGGGCGUAAAGCGCAUGCAGGCGGCCUGUUAAGUCAGAUGUGAAAGCCCGGGGCUUAACCUCGGAAUUGCAUUUGAAACUGGCAGGCUAGAGUCUUGUAGAGGGGGGUAGAAUUUCAGGUGUAGCGGUGAAAUGCGUAGAGAUCUGAAGGAAUACCAGUGGCGAAGGCGGCCCCCUGGACAAAGACUGACGCUCAGAUGCGAAAGCGUGGGGAGCAAACAGGAUUAGAUACCCUGGUAGGAUAGCGUAGUCGUAGGAACAAGGCACACAGGGGGAUA